GUCAAGCUUCCAAGAAAAGCCCUAUACCCGUUAAGGCAUGAUGGCCUGUACCCGAAACCGACACAGGUGGGGUGGUAGAGAAUACCGAGGGGCGCGAGAUAACUCUCUCUAAGGAACUCGGCAAAAUGGCCCCGUAACUUCGGAGAAGGGGUGCCACCGCAAGGUGGUCGCAGUGAAGAGGCCCAGGCGACUGUUUACCAAAAACACAGGUCUCCGCUAAGUCGCAAGACGAUGUAUGGGGGCUGACGCCUGCCCAGUGCCGGAAGGUUAAGGAAGCUGGUCAGCGUAAGCGAAGCUAGCGACUGAAGCCCCGGUGAACGGCGGCCGUAACGAUAACGGUCCUAAGGUAGCGAAAUUCCUUGUCGGGUAAGUUCCGACCCGCACGAAAGGCGUAACGAUCUGGGCGCUGUCUCGGAGAGAGGCUCGGCGAAAUAGAAUUGUCUGUGAAGAUGCGGACUACGUGCACCCGGACAGAAAGACCCUAUGAAGCUUUACUGUAGCUUGGUAUUGUGCUCGGGCUCGGAAUGCGCAGGAUAGGUGGGAGGCUAUGAACCAUUGCUUGUGGGUGAUGGUGAGCCACUGGUGAGAUACCACUCUUUCCGAGCUAGAGUUCUAACAGCCACCCGUUAUCCGGGGGCUGGACAGUAUCAGGUGGGCAGUUUGACUGGGGCGGUCGCCUCCUAAAAGGUAACGGAGGCGCGCAAAGGUUUGCUCAGGCUGGUUGGAAAUCAGCCGACGAGUGUAAAAGCAGAAGCAAGCUUGACUGUGAGACCUACAAGUCGAACAGGGAGGAAACUCGGCUUUAGUGAUCCGACGGUUCUGCGUGGAAGGGCCGUCGCUCAGCGGAUAAAAGUUACUCUAAGGAUAACAGGCUGAUCUCCCCCAAGAGUUCACAUCGACGGGGAGGUUUGGCACCUCGAUGUCGGCUCAUCGCAACCUGGGGCUGAAGUCGGUCCCAAGGGUUGGGCUGUUCGCCCAUUAAAGCGGUACGCGAGCUGGGUUCAGAACGUCGUGAGACAGUUCGGUCCAUAUCCGGUGCAUGCGCAGGAAUAUUGAGAGGAUUUCUCCCUAGUACGAGAGGACCGGGAGGAACGCACCUCUGGUGUACCAGUUAUCGUGCCAACGGUAAACGCUGGGUAGCCAUGUGCGGAGAGGAUAACCGCUGAAAGCAUCUAAGUGGGAAGCCCACCUCAAGAUGAGUAUUCCCAUGGGGUAACCCAGUAAGGUCACGGGAAGAACACCCGUUGAUAGGCUCUACGUGGAAGCGCAGUAAUGUGUGAAGCGGAGGAGUACUAAUAGACCGAGGGCUUGAC
rnacentral:rRNA from 1 species